UACGUAGGUGGCGAGCGUUAUUCGGAAUUACUAGGCGUAAAGCGUGUGUAGGCGGGUGCUUAAGUCCGUAGUGAAAUAUCCCGGCUUAACUGGGAAAUGUCUGCGGAUACUGGGCGCCUUGAGUUGGGCAGGGGGAACUGGAAUUCCCGGUGUAGCGGUGAAAUGCGUAGAUAUCGGGAAGAACACCAGCGGCGAAGGCGGGUUCCUGGGCCUUAACUGACGCUGAGACACGAAAGCUAGGGGAG
rnacentral:rRNA from 1 species